rnacentral:rRNA from 1 species
AUCAGCAAUGCCGCGUGUGUGAAGAAGGCCUUCGGGUUGUAAAGCACUUUUGUCCGGAAAGAAAUGGCUCUGGUUAAUACCUGGGGUCGAUGACGGUACCGGAAGAAUAAGGACCGGCUAACUACGUGCCAGCAGCCGCGGUAAUACGUAGGGUCCAAGCGUUAAUCGGAAUUACUGGGCGUAAAGCGUGCGCAGGCGGUUGUGCAAGACCGAUGUGAAAUCCCCGAGCUUAACUUGGGAAUUGCAUUGGUGACUGCACGGCUAGAGUGUGUCAGAGGGGGGUAGAAUUCCACGUGUAGCAGUGAAAUGCGUAGAGAUGUGGAGGAAUACCGAUGGCGAAGGCAGCCCCCUGGGAUAACACUGACGCUCAUGCACGAAAGCGUGGGGAGCAAACAGGAUUAAAUACCCUGGUAGUCCACGCCCUAAACGAUGUCAACUAGUUGUUGGGGAUUCAUUUCCUUAGUAACGUAGCUAACGCGUGAAGUUGACCGCCUGGGGAGUACGGUCGCAAGAUUAAAACUCAAAUGAAUUUGACGGA